rnacentral:rRNA from 2 species
UGGGGAAUAUUGGACAAUGGGCGAAAGCCUGAUCCAGCCAUGCCGCGUGUGUGAAGAAGGUCUUCGGAUUGUAAAGCACUUUAAGUUGGGAGGAAGGGCAGUAAGCGAAUACCUUGCUGUUUUGACGUUACCGACAGAAUAAGCACCGGCUAACUCUGUGCCAGCAGCCGCGGUAAUACAGAGGGUGCAAGCGUUAAUCGGAAUUACUGGGCGUAAAGCGCGCGUAGGUGGUUCGUUAAGUUGAAUGUGAAAGCCCCGGGCUCAACCUGGGAACUGCAUCCAAAACUGGCGAGCUAGAGUAGGGCAGAGGGUGGUGGAAUUUCCUGUGUAGCGGUGAAAUGCGUAGAUAUAGGAAGGAACACCAGUGGUGAAGGCGACCACCUGGGCUCAUACUGACACUGAGGUGCGAAAGCGUGGGGAGCAAACAGG